CUGUCGCUUAAAAAAUAAAUACAUAGUACAGUCUACAGGCACACAUACCUGUCAGUUGCUUAAGAAUGUUUGGUUGGUAAACAUCCUUGUUACUAACAGCUGGGUCCUUCUCUCAUUUAUUCUGCCUGUCACUUUGGCAGAGAGCCCUCCUCUCAGGUUUGUAAGUGUUGGUGGAUUCUUUAAAUUGAGUGUGAUUCCACAUUUUCUCAAGUUGUUGAUGUUCAGAUCUUCCCAAAUAAAGACCACCAAUUUUAUAUUGAGAAGUAAGAUAUUUUUAGAGUUGGAAGGUUGUGGUGGUAGGGGUGCAGGCCUCUGAGUUUGAGGACAGCCUGGGCUACAUAAGAAGCCCUGUCUUGG
rnacentral:lncRNA from 1 species